rnacentral:lncRNA from 1 species
GUCCAGAGUCCGCAUUGAAAUUCAUUUGUCCUUGCAGCUGAUUGUUAUCAGUAUCUUCUGAGUGUUGACCAUGGGGAUCAUUGUGAAGAAUAUGAGGUUGGAUCUCAACCUGUUCUUCUAGUAUCAUGCUAAACAGGAGAUAGCAUAGAAAAAAUCCUAUUGCAGAUCCAAAACUGAAGGUCAGAAGGUUCAUCAAAGACUUAGAAGAGGCCAUUUCCCAAAGGUAAUACACUCAGCGGCCGGCGGGGGCCCGGCGCGCGCUCCGCCGCGCGACCCCCAGGCAGCCGUUGGCCGCGCGCCACACACACGGCCGCGCCGCCACCAUCCCUCCGCCCCGCGCGUCACCCCGAGCCGCG